rnacentral:rRNA from 1 species
GAUGAACGCUGGCGGCGUGCCUAAUACAUGCAAGUCGAGCGAACAGAUGAGGAGCUUGCUCCUCUGACGUUAGCGGCGGACGGGUGAGUAACACGUGGAUAACCUACCUAUAAGACUGGGAUAACUUCGGGAAACCGGAGCUAAUACCGGAUAAUAUAUUGAACCGCAUGGUUCAAUAGUGAAAGACGGUUUUGCUGUCACUUAUAGAUGGAUCCGCGCCGCACUAGCUAGUUGGUAAGGUAACGGCUUACCAAGGCAACGAUGCGUAGCCGACCUGAGAGGGUGAUCGGCCACACUGGAACUGAGACACGGUCCAGACUCCUACGGGAGGCAGCAGUAGGGAAUCUUCCGCAAUGGGCGAAAGCCUGACGGAGCAACGCCGCGUGAGUGAUGAAGGUCUUCGGACCGUAAAACUCUGUUAUUAGGGAAGAACAAAUGUGUAAGUAACUAUGCACGUCUUGACGGUACCUAAUCAGAAAGCCACGGCUAACUACGUG